rnacentral:lncRNA from 1 species
CAGCGCGCCGGAAGUCUCUGCCCUGCAACAAAAACAACAGAAGAAGCAGCAGCAGCAGCAGCGCGUUGCCAGGCAGAGCUAAUCGAUCCCAGCGGAGCAGCAGGUGGCGCCGCAGAGACUCUCCCGGCCUCAGGUGAGUGUGAGCCGGACCCGCCGCAGAGACUCUCCCGGCCUCAGGUGUGUGUGAGCCGGACCCGCCGGAGCCUCCCCGCCGCUCCCGGACCGGAUCCGACCCGCAGACCUGCGACCCUCCAGCAGCCGAGCCGCUCCGUGUUCGUGUCGCUCUGGGUUUGACUGUUCAGCCUCGCGGAGCGGGAAGGACGGACUGCGGCUCAACAUGGAGUGGGGUCAGGACGAGCUGCUGUCUCCUGUGGUGAGAGAGGCCGAGGUGACGAGAGCCGCCCGCCGCAAGAGCAAGAAGGUGGCCUUCCCGUCGCCGGGCAGUGGCAGUCCGGGCGUUUCCAUGGUAACGCCAGCCCGCCCCCUGCUGAAGAACACACCCGCAUCUCUGUUCAGACAGGCUGGUAGGACACACACUCUCACACACUAGUGAGGGGCGAUAUGGACUAAAAAUUUUAUCACGAUAAUUUCUGGCAUUUAUUACGAUAACG